rnacentral:rRNA from 1 species
AGGAUCAUUAUUGAAUAAACGUGAACAGGUUGUUGCUGGUUCCCUUCCGAGGGGAUAUGUGCACGCUUGUCAUCUUUAUUUCUCCAACUGUGCACAUAUUGUAGACCUGGAUAUUUUGAUUAUAUUCGUAUAGAUUGAGGACUGGCUGUGCUUUGCGUGAAGUCGGCUUUGCCUUGUGCUUCUAGGUCUAUGUUAUUUUCAUAAUCUCUACAUAUGUUUAGAAUGUUGAAUUAGGUCGUUUUGUACCUAUAAAGUUGAAUAUACAACUUUCAGCAACGGAUCUCUUGGCUCUCGCAUCGAUGAAGAACGCAGCGAAAUGCGAUAAGUAAUGUGAAUUGCAGAAUUCAGUGAAUCAUCGAAUCUUUGAACGCAUCUUGCGCUCCUUGGUAUUCUGAGGAGCAUGCCUGUUUGAGUGUCAUUAAGUUCUCAAUCACAUCAGUGUUGAUGUGGCUUGGAUAAUGGAGGUUUGCAGGUUUUAUUAAAGUCUGCUCCUCUGAAAUUUAUUAGUGGUAUCUGAGCAGAAGCUACUACAGAUGUGAUAAAUAUCUACGUCUCUGGCAACUGCAUUGACAGACUACACCGCUCCUAACAAUGUGUAUGAACACGUUUGACAUNGUUGACCUCAAAUCAGGUAGGACUACCCGCUGAA